UUAAGCGACUAAGCGUACACGGUGGAUGCCCUGGCAGUCAGAGGCGAUGAAGGACGUGCUAAUCUGCGAAAAGCGUCGGUAAGGUGAUAUGAACCGUUAUAACCGGCGAUGUCCGAAUGGGGAAACCCAGUGCAAUUCGUUGCACUAUCGUUAACUGAAUACAUAGGUUAACGAGGCGAACCGGGGGAACUGAAACAUCUAAGUACCCCGAGGAAAAGAAAUCAACCGAGAUUCCCCCAGUAGCGGCGAGCGAACGGGGAGCAGCCCAGAGUCUGAAUCAGCUUGUGUGUUAGUGGAACGGUCUGGAAAGUCCGACGGUACAGGGUGAUAGUCCCGUACACCAAAAUGCACAGGCUGUGAACUCGAAGAGUAGGGCGGGACACGUGGUAUCCUGUCUGAAUAUGGGGGGACCAUCCUCCAAGGCUAAAUACUCCUGACUGACCGAUAGUGAACCAGUACCGUGAGGGAAAGGCGAAAAGAACCCCGGCGAGGGGAGUGAAAAAGAACCUGAAACCGUGUACGUACAAGCAGUGGGAGCACCUUCGGGUGUGACUGCGUACCUUUUGUAUAAUGGGUCAGCGACUUAUAUUCUGUAGCAAGGUUAACCGUAUAGGGGAGCCGCAGGGAAACCGAGUCUUAACUGGGCGUUAAGUUGCAGGGUAUAGACCCGAAACCCGGUGAUCUAGCCAUGGGCAGGUUGAAGGUUGGGUAACACUAACUGGAGGACCGAACCGACUAAUGUUGAAAAAUUAGCGGAUGACUUGUGGCUGGGGGUGAAAGGCCAAUCAAACCGGGAGAUAGCUGGUUCUCCCCGAAAGCUAUUUAGGUAGCGCCUCGUGAAUUCAUCUUCGGGGGUAGAGCACUGUUUCGGCUAGGGGGUCAUCCCGACUUACCAACCCGAUGCAAACUACGAAUACCGAAGAAUGUUAUCACGGGAGACACACGGCGGGUGCUAACGUCCGUCGUGAAGAGGGAAACAACCCAGACCGCCAGCUAAGGUCCCAAAGUCAUGGUUAAGUGGGAAACGAUGUGGGAAGGCACAGACAGCCAGGAUGUUGGCUUAGAAGCAGCCAUCAUUUAAAGAAAGCGUAAUAGCUCACUGGUCGAGUCGGCCUGCGCGGAAGAUGUAACGGGGCUAAACCAUGCACCGAAGCUGCGGCAGCGACACUAUGUGUUGUUGGGUAGGGGAGCGUUCUGUAAGCCUGCGAAGGUGUGCUGUGAGGCAUGCUGGAGGUAUCAGAAGUGCGAAUGCUGACAUAAGUAACGAUAAAGCGGGUGAAAAGCCCGCUCGCCGGAAGACCAAGGGUUCCUGUCCAACGUUAAUCGGGGCAGGGUGAGUCGACCCCUAAGGCGAGGCCGAAAGGCGUAGUCGAUGGGAAACAGGUUAAUAUUCCUGUACUUGGUGUUACUGCGAAGGGGGGACGGAGAAGGCUAUGUUAGCCGGGCGACGGUUGUCCCGGUUUAAGCAUGUAGGCUGGUUGUCCAGGCAAAUCCGGAUAAUCAAGGCUGAGGUGUGAUGACGAGGCACUACGGUGCUGAAGUAACAAAUGCCCUGCUUCCAGGAAAAGCCUCUAAGCAUCAGGUAACAUCAAAUCGUACCCCAAACCGACACAGGUGGUCAGGUAGAGAAUACCAAGGCGCUUGAGAGAACUCGGGUGAAGGAACUAGGCAAAAUGGUGCCGUAACUUCGGGAGAAGGCACGCUGGUGUGUAGGUGAAGCCCCUGCGGGUGGAGCUGAGACCAGUCGAAGAUACCAGCUGGCUGCAACUGUUUAUUAAAAACACAGCACUGUGCAAACACGAAAGUGGACGUAUACGGUGUGACGCCUGCCCGGUGCCGGAAGGUUAAUUGAUGGGGUUAUCCGUAAGGAGAAGCUCUUGAUCGAAGCCCCGGUAAACGGCGGCCGUAACUAUAACGGUCCUAAGGUAGCGAAAUUCCUUGUCGGGUAAGUUCCGACCUGCACGAAUGGCGUAAUGAUGGCCAGGCUGUCUCCACCCGAGACUCAGUGAAAUUGAACUCGCUGUGAAGAUGCAGUGUACCCGCGGCAAGACGGAAAGACCCCGUGAACCUUUACUAUAGCUUGACACUGAACAUUGAGCCUUGAUGUGUAGGAUAGGUGGGAGGCUUUGAAGCGUGGACGCCAGUCUGCGUGGAGCCAACCUUGAAAUACCACCCUUUAAUGUUUGAUGUUCUAACGUUGGCCCCUGACCGGGGUUGCGGACAGUGUCUGGUGGGUAGUUUGACUGGGGCGGUCUCCUCCCAAAGCGUAACGGAGGAGCACGAAGGUUAGCUAAUCCUGGUCGGACAUCAGGAGGUUAGUGCAAUGGCAUAAGCUAGCUUGACUGCGAGCGUGACGGCGCGAGCAGGUGCGAAAGCAGGUCAUAGUGAUCCGGUGGUUCUGAAUGGAAGGGCCAUCGCUCAACGGAUAAAAGGUACUCCGGGGAUAACAGGCUGAUACCGCCCAAGAGUUCAUAUCGACGGCGGUGUUUGGCACCUCGAUGUCGGCUCAUCACAUCCUGGGGCUGAAGUAGGUCCCAAGGGUAUGGCUGUUCGCCAUUUAAAGUGGUACGCGAGCUGGGUUUAGAACGUCGUGAGACAGUUCGGUCCCUAUCUGCCGUGGGCGCUGGAGAAUUGAGGGGGGCUGCUCCUAGUACGAGAGGACCGGAGUGGACGCAUCACUGGUGUUCGGGUUGUCAUGCCAAUGGCACUGCCCGGUAGCUAAAUGCGGAAGAGAUAAGUGCUGAAAGCAUCUAAGCACGAAACUUGCCCCGAGAUGAGUUCUCCCUGAGACUUUAAGUCUCCUGAAGGAACGUUGAAGACGACGACGUUGAUAGGCCGGGUGUGUAAGCGCAGCGAUGCGUUGAGCUAACCGGUACUAAUGAACCGUGAGGCUUAACCUU
rnacentral:rRNA from 1 species